AGUUAGCUCAGUUGGUAGAGCAACGGACUCUUAAACCGUGGGUCCAGGGUUCGAGCCCCUGUCUG
rnacentral:tRNA from 1 species